rnacentral:rRNA from 1 species
CAGUCGCCGCGGUAAUACGUAGGUGGCAAGCGUUGUCCGGAAUUAUUGGGCGUAAAGGGCUCGCAGGCGGUUUCUUAAGUCUGAUGUGAAAGCCCCAGGCUCAACCGGGGAGGGUCAUUGGAAACUGGGAAACUUGAGUGCAGAAGAGGAGAGUGGAAUUCCACGUGUAGCGGUGAAAUGCGUAGAGAUGUGGAGGAACACCAGUGGCGAAGGCGACUCUCUGGUCUGUAACUGACGCUGAGGAGCGAAAGCGUGGGGAGCGAACAGGAUUAGAGACCCCCGUAGUCCCUGUCUCUUAUAC